GAUGAACGCUGGCGGCGUGCUUAACACAUGCAAGUCGAACGAUGAAGCCCAGCUUGCGGGGUGGAUUAGUGGCGAACGGGUGAGUAACACGUGAGUAACCUGCCCUUAACUCUGGGAUAAGCCUGGGAAACUGGGUCUAAUACCGGAUAGGAGCGUCCACCGCAUGGUGGGGGUUGGAAAGAUUUAUCGGUUUUGGAUGGACUCGCGGCCUAUCAGCUUGUUGGUGGGGUAGUGGCUCACCAAGGCGACGACGGGUAGCCGGCCUGAGAGGGUGACCGGCCACACUGGGACUGAGACACGGCCCAGACUCCUACGGGAGGCAGCAGUGGGGAAUAUUGCACAAUGGGCGCAAGCCUGAUGCAGCGACGCCGCGUGAGGGAUGACGGCCUUCGGGUUGUAAACCUCUUUCAGUAGGGAAGAAGCGAGAGUGACGGUACCUGCAAAAGAAGCACCGGCUAACUACGUG
rnacentral:rRNA from 1 species